rnacentral:rRNA from 1 species
UCGAAAGACCUGUCCCAGUUCGGACUGGAGUCUGCAACCCGACUCCACGAAGUUGGAUUCGCUAGUAAUCGCGCAUCAGCCAUGGCGCGGUGAAUACGUUCCCGGGCCUUGUACACACCGCCCGUCAAGCCAUGGGAGGCCGGGGGCGCCUGAAGUCCGGGACCGCGAGGACCGGCCUAGGGCGAAACUGGUAACUGGGGCUAAGUCGUAACAAGGUAUC